AAAGGUAAAGGGGGUAUGGGAUUUCGGGACCUCAGGCUUUGCAAUCAAGCACUUUUGGCCAAACAAGCUUGGCGUUUAUUGGUUUUUCCGGACUAUUUGUGUGCAAAGGUGAUGAAAGCUAAAUAUUAUCCACAUGGGCAUCUUAUUGAUACUGUCUUUCCUCAAGCGACUUCGCUUACGUGGCAAGGUAUUAUGCAUGGACUUGAAUUGUUGAAAAGGGGCAUCAUCUAG
rnacentral:rRNA from 1 species